AUUGAACGCUGGCGGCAGGCCUAACACAUGCAAGUCGAACGAGUGGCGGAAGGGUGAGUAAUGUCUGGGAAACUGCCUGAGGGAGGGGGAUAACUACUGGAAACGGUAGCUAAUACCGCAUACCAUCAGAUGUGCCCAGAUGGGAUUAGCUUGUUGGUGGGGUAACGGCUCACCAAGGCGACGAUCCCUAGCUGGUCUGAGAGGAUGACCAGCCACACUGGAACUAAGGCACGGUCACUACUACUACGGGAGGCAGCAGUGGGGAAUAUUGCGCAAUGGGCGCAAGCCUGAUGCAGCCAUGCCGCGUGUAUUAAGAAGGCCUUCGGUUUGUAAAGUACUUUCAGCGGGGAGGCGUUACCCGCAGAAGAAGCACCGGCUAACUCCGUGCCAGCAGCCGCGGUAAUUC
rnacentral:rRNA from 1 species